CAACAGCUGAGGUGUUUCUCAGAAUACAGAGACAGCUCAACAUUAAUAGGAAGCAUCCUCCAAUCAUUAUACUGACAGGUUUAAUAGUUCUGUUGUAGUUCUACACAUCUAAAUCCAUCAGGCCAAAAUGGAUGGAUGGGAAGGAUGUAUUUUGCCUGAGUAAAGGCACCUGGAGACACUGUGCUAAUAGUGCAGGAUGUCAGAAUAAGUCACCUUGAACAUCUCGCCUAGACCAGUGACUAUCAAUACACCUGAAAAGAAAUAGAGCCCAUGUCCCUCCCAGCACAGUCCUGCUUCUGCGUGCAGGUGGCCAUAUAAUGCCACUUCCUACAGGCAUUGAGCUCUCCUGGCACCCUGAGCAAACUCCUAUGGCCACACUGUACUAUUGUGGAGUCUAUGUAGGAGUGCUGAGUAGUCUGGGAAGCUGCAAUGUGGACACAGUACAGGAAUUUGCAUACUGUACAGUCCCUGGGUCAGGAAGUGCAGUGUGCUCCAACAGGCUGAGACCAUUCCAUUUCUGUGUAAUUACUGCCAAUUGUGCAAGUCCUGCACUUCAUCAGGCAGCUGCACCACGUACCAACAGGCUCUGAAGUAUUCUUAGCCAAUGCUACCUUAAGAAGUGCAGAUAAUUUAAAAUCCAUUUUAAGUUACUUCCUGCAUGCUAUUUAGACUUCAUUUUCACCUCAGACACAUAAUGAAGCAGUAGUUUAAUAAGUAAUGCAUUACUGACAGAGCAGAAGGAACAAAUGGCCAACUUAUUUGUUUUAGAAGGAGCAUGUAAUAAAAAAGAUUCAGUCUACUGUACUGUGCCCAUGAACUUUAAACCCCUGAUUAAGGCAAAGGCACAGUGUCCAAGAAAAAUUUCCUGCUCUAGUAGACUGCAAUGUGGGACCAAAGCCCAAAGACUCCCAAGACAUUUCAAUAGCCAGUAACCAGCUGCAUGUCCUGGGAGGAAUAGCUAACCUGAGAGCAGCUUUCCUUCUACACAAUCUCUGUUGGCCUAAGGAGCCUGCCUGGAACUGCCCUGUAUAGGAGAAAAGGGAAUGUUUCUCUGAUCAAGUACUGGACAAGACCUGUGCAGGAAGGGAAAAGAAGGCAUCUUUGUCUUGGUUUGGUUUGGUUUGGUUUUGCACCAGUUUUGCUUCAAAAUGACAUCCAUGUGAAGAACUCUCCUUGAAUCAGGGUACUCAACAGCAGGCAUCAAUGACUUGGAAGGGAAAGGUACAGUUCCCCAUCAGCAAAGCCCCAAGGUCUGCAAGAUUAUAACAUGGGAGAGAAGCCAAGUACCUGUAAAUGCAAGGUGAAGUAGGUGGCAGUCACAUAGGUAUGCAGGAGCA